UUGAAGAGUUUGAUCAUGGCUCAGAUUGAACGCUGGCGGCAGGCCUAACACAUGCAAGUCGAGCGGUUGAGGAUAGCUUGCUAUCCAAAGCAGCGGCGGACGGGUGAGUAACGCGUGGGAAUCUACCUAGUAGAGGGGGACAACUCGGGGAAACUCGAGCUAAUACCGCAUACGCCCUACGGGGGAAAGGAGGGGAUCUUCGGACCUUCCGCUAUUAGAUGAGCCCGCGUUAGAUUAGCUAGUUGGUAGGGUAAAGGCCUACCAAGGCGACGAUCUAUAGCUGGUCUGAGAGGAUGAUCAGCCACAUUGGGACUGAGACACGGCCCAAACUCCUACGGGAGGCAGCAGUGGGGAAUAUUGCACAAUGGAGGAAACUCUGAUGCAGCCAUGCCGCGUGUGUGAAGAAGGCCUUCGGGUUGUAAAGCACUUUCAGUUGUGAGGAAAGCUUGUUGGUUAAUACCCAACAGGUAUGACGUUAGCAACAGAAGAAGGACCGGCUAACUCCGUGCCAGCAGCCGCGGUAAUACGGAGGGUCCGAGCGUUAAUCGGAAUUACUGGGCGUAAAGCGCACGCAGGCGGUUUGUUAAGCUAGAUGUGAAAGCCCCGGGCUCAACCUGGGAAUAGCAUUUAGAACUGGCAGACUAGAGUCUUGGAGAGGGGAGUGGAAUUUCUGGUGUAGCGGUGAAAUGCGUAGAUAUCUGGAGGAACAUCAGUGGCGAAGGCGACUCACUGGAUCAAUACUGACGCUGAGGUGCGAAAGCGUGGGGAGCAAACAGGAUUAGAUACCCUGGUAGUCCACGCCGUAAACGAUGUCUACUAGCCGUUGGGGAACUUGAUUCUUUAGUGGCGCAGCUAACGCACUAAGUAGACCGCCUGGGGAGUACGGCCGCAAGGUUAAAACUCAAAUGAAUUGACGGGGGCCCGCACAAGCGGUGGAGCAUGUGGUUUAAUUCGAUGAUACGCGAGGAACCUUACCAGGGCUUAAAUGUAGUAUGACAGGUUUAGAGAUAGACUUUUCUUCGGACAUAUUACAAGGUGCUGCAUGGUUGUCGUCAGCUCGUGCCGUGAGGUGUCAGGUUAAGUCCUAUAACGAGCGCAACCCCUACCGUUAGUUGCCAGCAUGUCAUGAUGGGGACUCUAACGGGACUGCCGGUGCAAACCGUGAGGAAGGUGGGGAUGACGUCAAAUCAUCACGGCCCUUACGUCCUGGGCCACACACGUGCUACAAUGGCAGGUACAGAGAGCAGCCAUGUCGCAAGGCAGAGCGAAUCUAUAAAACCUGUCACAGUUCGGAUCGGGGUCUGCAACUCGACCCCGUGAAGCUGGAAUCGCUAGUAAUCGCCGGUCAGCAUACGGCGGUGAAUCCGUUCCCGGGCCUUGUACACACCGCCCGUCACACCAUGGAAGUUGGUUAUGCCCGAAGUCGUUACCUGAAAGGGUUCGCCUAAGGUGGAGCUGAUGACUGGGGUGAAGUCGUAACAAGGUAGCCGUACGGGAACGUGCGGCUGGAUCACCUCCUU
rnacentral:rRNA from 1 species